CUGGAAGUGGAGACUGGGGCAUAAGGUGGGGGGGAAGAGGUAACCGCCGGCCCCAAAGAGUGCACAGAUGCUCUGUGCGGGGUCGGCUAGUUUGAAUGUAAUUUGCCAUGAGUUCUAAGUGAAUCAAAUUCUCAAAAUGGCUUAAAUAGCAAAAUAUGAAGAAAUGGUUUUCUCUGCGUUUCCCUUUAUAAUCAUUACUAUUUUAUUUUGCUUUGUGCUUACAAAGUAGCUCAUAUAUAAAUAACUUUUACUGUAUAUAGACAACCUUUGGUGGGUUGAAGCAAGGAGCAAGUGUUGGUGUUGUUAAGUUGCAGUAAACCUUCAGAGUAACUUACAAAACAACUGUAUUGGUUGACACAAUGUACUCCAGUUCUUUGGUCCAUGGAUUGAUGAAACUGAGCCACUGACUUCUUAAGGUCAUUAGGAGUUCAAUUUAACAGAUGAAGACCAUGAGCAGCAACUUGCUCCAAGACACCGAAACUAGUGAGCACACUUCCAGUUCAGAGAUCAAAGUUCCGGGAAUGAGCGCAAUCUCUUGCAGCAACCACAGCACACAGCUGUUCCCUGGCUGGGAAAAACGCUAUGACCGACAAUAGCUGCCCCUGCUCCGGAUGCCCACAGUGGAGUGCGAUCAUUGCUGGAUGUUUUCACGCACAAGUGACCAGGCGAGUGCCUGCUUAGUUGGCUACACACUUUAUCUAGUAUGAAGCACUUGUAGGACAAGUGCUGAACCCACUCCGUUAUUAAUGCCUUGGGUGUAAGUUUUUCGUGACUCAUCCCCAUUCCCAAUUUCUGCAUAUCUCUGCUAAACAUAGAAGCACUAUGAAAAAAGCACUGUGACUGUAGAGUCAAGGGCAGCAUUCUAGACAUCCAUUUCUGUCCACACAGACUGAAACUAGUGGUUGUUAUCUGCAGGAUAUAUGUGCUGGUUUACUCAUUAAUUCAAUCAGACUCCAAUGUUGGAUUUCCAAAAAGUGGUUAUAGAAAAGAACACAAUGUUCAUAUAAAGACAGAUACAGGCACAUUCUCAAUGACUAGAAGCAUUUCUAGUUCUAAACAUGGAGAGAAGGUAAUUUGAAGAUUUGUUUAAAGUGUUAAGGUUUUCCAUAGUCAAUGUUUAAUGACCAGACACAAUGCUAGGUUCUAAUGGAUCCUCUUGUUCACAAGACAGGCUUGCAUGACCAAAGACACUAAAGUAUUUGAAAGAAGAUGCUCUUAUUUAUUAGUAUCUGGAUGUAUUCUGUAUACUGUUAACCUAGCCACAGAUCAAUCUAAUACAACUUAAUGAUACAGUCUAAAUGCAGUGGGCUGGGGCUGGGGAUAUUAACAGUGAGAUAACAGUAUGUUUAAGUGUGCAUGGAGGAACAGCCCUCUAUUCCUCCUAACCUUUUUACCGCUGCCAAGAGAACUUUUGGUAUGGCUGGGUCCACCACAACAGCCCUUCACAUUUAUCAAAAAUUUCAAAAACAAAAACAAACCUCAGUAGUGUGAAAAGACUUAUUGGUGUGGGGUGGAGACAAUAAACAAGCUUCUAGUUUUUUAACAAGAAAAUUUACUUGAGAAAAAUUGGUUGAAUGAAAACAUUUCUUUUACAGAAAUAAAAUACAAACUCAAAACAGGUCAGGGAAAAUAAAGAGCUGGAGAAACAUAAUCACUACCUGCCUCUAUACAGGUCCCUACUCAGAGUCCUCUUGUAUUUUUUACUGGGCUUGCUGGGCAAACUAUUUGUUCUGAGUAUGGCACAGGUCUGAGGCUCAAUCCAGCCUAGCUCUUCCUUUUCUUCAGAGAUUUCAGCUCAAAGGCUUCUCUUCUUCUUGCUGCUCACUCUCUGCAGACUACCAACUCUGCUGACUCACUCCCAGGACUCUGUCUUUCCUCUCUAAGCAUUCCCAAUAUAUGCAGUUUCUCUGCCCAUCAGUUCCUCAGCCCAGCCAAUCAGAACAACAACAAAAAAACUCCCUCUUUUAAAAAAUCUCCUUUACCUCCAAAAACCAACUGUCAAAUGCUAAACCAAAUGUGAAACUAGAGAAAAACAAGACUGAAUUUUUGACCCCACACAGAGACCGGCCAACAUUCUAUACAUAUAUACAAUGGAGAAGAGGUUUGUGCCUCAUUCCUUCAUAGUGCUCAACAUACAUUAGUCCAGUAAUCUUUACAACAGUCCUGCAAGAUAGUAUUGCCUCAUCUCUGUACUGCAGGCAGAGAGCAGAGGCCGAAAAAUAGUAACUUGCCUCAAAUGCCCUCAAGCAGAUUUAUGACUAAGGUGAAGUGCAAUCAGGGACUCCUCCACUUGUAGCUCAAAUCCUAGGCUACUAUGCUACUUGAGCUCUCACAUGGGCAGGUUCCAGAUGGCGAUUUACUCCUACUCCACUAUGAUUAGCAUGGGUGGAGCAAAUUCAUACAAAGGAAGCAUUUACAGCGCUUUCAACAUAACAGCAAAAUGUUGUUCAUAUUAUCAGUGGCAUUAUUUGCUUUUUUCAUAACAACUGGCCCUUAAUGUAUAAUAUAAGCAUUAAGUGUGGGCUACUCAGGCAUUUUAGCAGAGCUGUGUAGCAAGACCCAUGAGAUGGACGUGUGGUUACCUGUCUGGGAGUGACUUUGGGGAGUGUGGGCUCUACCUGCCCUCUCAGUUCCACUCCUGGGCAGACUUGCAUCCUGGGCCCUGCAGUCUCCUUCUGGUCCAGAGCUCCAUCUAAUACUGAUCCUCACCCCAUCAAAAAAGCGUUUGGGAGGGGGUCUUGGGGGGAGUUGGGAAGGCUGUGUUCCCUUCCAGAUGGUGCACUUGGGGAGGUAGAAUUUAUGGUCUCUCUCUCUCUCUCUCUCACACACACACACACACACACACUUCUUGUGUAAGAACACCAGUACUUCAGAGUAACUCAGCAAUGUUUCCUUUCAUAAAGGGAGAAAUAGUAAUAACAGGUCCAUGGUAUCUGGGGAGGGAGUGUGCAUGGUGCCCUGCUAUCCCAUAAGAUAUUGUUUUCAGUGAGGUGGUUUGGAGUUAGUGCUCCAUUGCAGUAGCUUAAGUUUCCCACUGAUCUAGCAUGCAGUUGUUGCACAAGAACACUAGGAUAUACACACACACACACACACUUCACAUACAUACAUACAUACAUACA